AGGGUUGAUGAUUGAAAAUAAGCUUUAAUCUGAAAAGAUGGUGGAAUUUUGAUCAGAGAAAAAUGUUAUGACUGGAAAACUCCCCAUGGAGAAGCUCUAUGCCAUGAUUUUGUUGGAGGUUGCCACCUGAAGUGACCCAGUCUCGAAAGAAGAGCCUUGUUCUGUGGAGUGUCCUCUUUGUGACAGGGAAGCCUGAGAAUCGCUGUCCUUGCCCUUCAGAGUGUGCAGAGAUGGAGAAGUGCAGCAAACACCUAAAAGUACUUGUGGCAGAAAGGACCCAUGACUUAAUGCAUGAAAAACAGAAAACCGGCUACCUGCUCU